UAAUUUGUUAUCCCUGUCAUAGAAAACCUUGGUGGAAUUCUGAGAGUGGUAAUAGUUUCAUAGCUCAUGCUGCCCAAGUAAUAGUGUGGAGCAGGCGUAUCUGUGCUUUACUUUUGCUACAAGCGCUAGAAGAUUGGCAUCACAAAUCAAAUCUUUGUAUUUUCAAUCUACAAUUCAGGUGGAUACAAUAUGUGUGCAUGUGCGCAUGGAAAGAACGCUCGUGUCGAUGACUUUGUCAACGGGGGAAAAAUGUUAAGCUUAAUUUGCUCGAUAAUAGAAUUUGUUUUAAUCUUUUCUUCUUUUAUUAUCAUUAGGUGGUGUAGGCUGAUUUAUUUCAUACCUCGGUUGAAUCACUCAUCAGCCCGUCCCAAGAGGCCAAGACGCAUAGCUGACUUUUGACUUCAAUUUUUCAUAAUUUAAACCGAAAUAGUGUAGCGGCUGAAGAAAUAAAAUUUGAUUGCUCCCCCCUU